UACGAAGGGGGCUAGCGUUGCUCGGAAUUACUGGGCGUAAAGCGCACGUAGGCGGAUAUUUAAGUCAGGGGUGAAAUCCCGGGGCUCAACCCCGGAACUGCCUUUGAUACUGGGUAUCUGGAGGUCGAGAGAGGCGAGUGGAAUUCCGAGUGUAGAGGUGAAAUUCGUAGAUAUUCGGAGGAACACCAGUGGCGAAGGCGGCUCGCUGGCUCGAUACUGACGCUGAGGUGCGAAAGCGUGGGGGGCAAACAGG
rnacentral:rRNA from 1 species